rnacentral:rRNA from 1 species
GAAGGUGAAGUCGUAACAAGGUCUCCGUUGGUGAACCAGCGGAGGGAUCAUUACCGAGUUUACAACUCCCAAACCCCUGUGAACAUACCACUUGUUGCCUCGGCGGAUCAGCCCGCUCCCGGUAAAACGGGACGGCCCGCCAGAGGACCCCUAAACUCUGUUUCUAUAUGUAACUUCUGAGUAAAACCAUAAAUAAAUCAAAACUUUCAACAACGGAUCUCUUGGUUCUGGCAUCGAUGAAGAACGCAGCAAAAUGCGAUAAGUAAUGUGAAUUGCAGAAUUCAGUGAAUCAUCGAAUCUUUGAACGCACAUUGCGCCCGCCAGUAUUCUGGCGGGCAUGCCUGUUCGAGCGUCAUUUCAACCCUCAAGCACAGCUUGGUGUUGGGACUCGCGUUAAUUCGCGUUCCUCAAAUUGAUUGGCGGUCACGUCGAGCUUCCAUAGCGUAGUAGUAAAACCCUCGUUACUGGUAAUCGUCGCGGCCACGCCGUUAAACCCCAACUUCUGAAUGUUGACCUCGGAUCAGGUAGGAAUACCCGCUGAACUUAAGCAUAUCAAUAAGCGGAGGA